ACCUACGGGGCGCAGCAGUGGGGAAUAUUGCACAAUGGGGGAAACCCUGAUGCAGCGACGCCGCGUGAGUGAGGAAGUAUUUCGGUAUGUAAAGCUCUAUCAGCAGGGAAGAAAAUGACGGUACCUGACUAAGAAGCCCCGGCUAACUACGUGCCAGCAGCCGCGGUAAUACGUAGGGAGCAAGCGUUAUCCGGAUUUAUUGGGUGUAAAGGGUGCGUAGACGGGUAUAUAAGUUAGUUGUGAAAUCCCUCGGCUCAACUGAGGAACUGCAACUAAAACUGUAAAUCUUGAGUGCGGGAGAGGAA
rnacentral:rRNA from 1 species